AGCGAACGCUGGCGGCAGGCUUAACACAUGCAAGUCGAGCGGGCGUAGCAAUACGUCAGCGGCAGACGGGUGAGUAACGCGUGGGAACGUACCUUUUGGUUCGGAACAACACAGGGAAACUUGUGCUAAUACCGGAUAAGCCCUUACGGGGAAAGAUUUAUCGCCGAAAGAUCGGCCCGCGUCUGAUUAGCUAGUUGGUAGGGUAAUGGCCUACCAAGGCGACGAUCAGUAGCUGGUCUGAGAGGAUGAUCAGCCACAUUGGGACUGAGACACAGCCCAAACUCCUACGGGAGGCAGCAGUGGUGAAUAUUGGACAAUGGGGGAAACCCUGAUCCAGCCAUGCGGCGUGAGUGAUGAAGGCCCUAGGGUUGUAAAGCUCUUUUGUGCGGGAAGAUAAUGACGGUACCGCAAGAAUAAGCCCCGGCUAACUUCGUGCCAGCAGCCGCGGUAA
rnacentral:rRNA from 1 species